GGUAAUGCCGGAUGCUCCAUCACACUGCAUGGUGUGUUGGGAAAGCCUUUGCGGCAUGGGAUGGGGUCGCGUCCUAUCAGCUUGAUGGCGGGGUAACGGCCCACCAUGGCUUCGACGGGUAGCCGGCCUGAGAGGGCGACCGGCCACAUUGGGACUGAGAUACGGCCCAGACUCCUACGGGAGGCAGCAGUGGGGAAUAUUGCACAAUGGGCGCAAGCCUGAUGCAGCGACGCCGCGUGAGGGAUGGAGGCCUUCGGGUUGUAAACCUCUUUUGUUAGGGAGCAAGGCAUUUUGUGUUGAGUGUACCUUUCGAAUAAGCACCGGCUAACUACGUGCCAGCAGCCGCGGUAAUACGUAGGGUGCAAGCGUUAUCCGGAAUUAUUGGGCGUAAAGGGCUCGUAGGCGGUUCGUCGCGUCCGGUGUGAAAGUCCAUCGCUUAACGGUGGAUCCGCGCCGGGUACGGGCGGGCUUGAGUGCGGUAGGGGAGACUGGAAUUCCCGGUGUAACGGUGGAAUGUGUAGAUAUCG
rnacentral:rRNA from 1 species